UACGUAGGAUCCGAGCGUUAUCCGGAUUUAUUGGGUUUAAAGGGAGCGUAGGUUGAUUGUUAAGUCAGUUGUGAAAGUUUGCGGCUCAACCGUAAAAUUGCAGUUGAAACUGGCAGUCUUGAGUACAGUAGAGGUGGGCGGAAUUCGUGGUGUAGCGGUGAAAUGCUUAGAUAUCACGAAGAACUCCGAUUGCGAAGGCAGCUCACUGGACUGCAACUGACACUGAGGCUCGAAAGUGUGGGUAUCAAACAGG
rnacentral:rRNA from 1 species